GACGAACGCUGGCGGCGUGCUUAACACAUGCAAGUCGAACGAUGACGACCGAGCUUGCUCGGUCUGAUUAGUGGCGAACGGGUGAGUAACACGUGAGCAACCUGCCCUUCACUCUGGGAUAACCUCGGGAAAUCGGGGCUAAUACCGGAUAUGAGCUCCUGUCGCAUGGCGGGUGUUGGAAAGUUUUUCGGUGAAGGAUGGGCUCGCGGCCUAUCAGUUUGUUGGUGAGGUAGUGGCUCACCAAGGCGAUGACGGGUAGCCGGCCUGAGAGGGCGACCGGCCACACUGGGACUGAGACACGGCCCAGACUCCUACGGGAGGCAGCAGUGGGGAAUAUUGCACAAUGGGCGAAAGCCUGAUGCAGCGACGCCGUGUGAGGGAUGACGGCCUUCGGGUUGUAAACCUCUUUCAGCAGGGAAGAAGCGAAAGUGACGGUACCUGCAGAAGAAGCGCCGGCUAACUACGUG
rnacentral:rRNA from 1 species